rnacentral:rRNA from 1 species
GACGAACGCUGGCGGCGUGCUUAACACAUGCAAGUCGAACGGAAAGGCCCUGCUUGCAGGGUACUCGAGUGGCGAACGGGUGAGUAACACGUGGGUGAUCUGCCCUUCACUUCGGGAUAAGCCUGGGAAACUGGGUCUAAUACCGGAUAGGAGCCAUUUUUAGUGUGAUGGUUGGAAAGUUUUUUCGGUGUAGGAUGAGCUCGCGGCCUAUCAGCUUGUUGGUGGGGUAAUGGCCUACCAAGGCGGCGACGGGUAGCCGGCCUGAGAGGGUGGACGGCCACAUUGGGACUGAGAGACGGCCCAGACUCCUACGGGAGGCAGCUGUGGGGAAUAUUGCACAAUGGGCGCAAGCCUGAUGCAGCGACGCCGCGUGGGGGAUGACGGCCUUCGGGUUGUAAACUCCAUUCGCUAGGGACGAAGCUUUUUGUGACGGUACCUAGAUAAGAAGCACCGGCUAACUACGUG